GGUGCGGGUGGGCCGUCGGC
rnacentral:misc_RNA from 1 species